rnacentral:tRNA from 1 species
UUAAUUGAAGCCAAAAUAGAGGCUUUUCAUUGUUAAUGAAAUCAUUGAUUAUAUAAAUCCAAUUAA